GGGCUUGACAUCCCACGAACCUGCCUGAAAGGGCGGGGUGCCCGCAAGGGAGCGUGGAGACAGGUGGUGCAUGGCUGUCGUCAGCUCGUGUCGUGAGAUGUUGGGUUAAGUCCCGCAACGAGCGCAACCCUCACCCCUAGUUGCCACCGGGUAAAGCCGAGCACUCGAGGGGAACUGCCAGCGUCAAGCUGGAGGAAGGCGGGGAUGACGUCAAGUCAUCAUGCCCCUUACGCCCUGGGCUACACACGUGCUACAAUGGCCAGUACAAAGGGAUGCGAGACCGCAAGGUGGAGCUAAUCCCAGAAAGCUGGUCUAAGUUCGGAUUGCAGUCUGCAACUCGACUGCAUGAAGUAGGAAUCGCUAGUAAUCGCGUAUCAGCACGGCGCGGUGAAUACGUUCCCGGGCCUUGUACACACCGCCCGUCACACCACGAAAGCUGUCUGUACUCGAAGUCGCUGAG
rnacentral:rRNA from 1 species